AGCAGCCGCGGUAAUUCCAGCUCCAAUAGCGUAUAUUAAAGUUGCUGCAGUUAAAAAGCUCGUAGUUGAAUUUCGGGACUAAUAUGUCGGUCGUGCCUCGGUACGUACUGGCUUAUUGGUUUCUCCUUUCUGAAGAACCAUGAUGUCAUUUAUUUGGUGUCGUGGGGAAUCAGGACUGUUACUUUGAAAAAUUAGAGUGUUUAAAGCAGGCUCACGCUUGAAUACAUUAGCAUGGAAUAAUGAAAUAGGACGUUUGAUUCUAUUUUGUUGGUUUCUAGGAUCGACGUAAUGAUUAAUAGGGAUAGUUGGGGGCAUUAGUAUUCAAUUGUCAGAGGUGAAAUUCUUGGAUUUAUUGAAGACUAACUACUGCGAAAGCAUUUGCCAAGGAUGUUUUCAUUAAUCAAGAACGAAAGUUAGGGGACCGAAGACGAUCAGAUACCGUCGUAGUCUUAACCAUAAACUAUGCCGACUAGGGAUCGGAUGAUGUUAAUUUUUUAAUGUACUCUA
rnacentral:rRNA from 1 species